UACGUAGGGGGCAAGCGUUAUCCGGAUUUACUGGGUGUAAAGGGAGCGUAGACGGCUUUGCAAGCCAGAUGUGAAAGCCCGGGGCUCAACCCCGGGACUGCAUUUGGAACUGUGUAGCUGGAGUGUCGGAGAGGCAGGCGGAAUUCCUAGUGUAGCGGUGAAAUGCGUAGAUAUUAGGAGGAACACCAGUGGCGAAGGCGGCCUGCUGGACGAUGACUGACGUUGAGGCUCGAAAGCGUGGGGAGCAAACAGG
rnacentral:rRNA from 1 species